rnacentral:rRNA from 1 species
GGUAGAUAGUGGCGCACGGGUGCGUAACGCGUGGGAAUCUGCCCUUGGGUUCGGAAUAACUUCUGGAAACGGAAGCUAAUACCGGAUGAUGACGUAAGUCCAAAGAUUUAUCGCCCAAGGAUGAGCCCGCGUAGGAUUAGCUAGUUGGUGAGGUAAAGGCUCACCAAGGCGACGAUCCUUAGCUGGUCUGAGAGGAUGAUCAGCCACACUGGGACUGAGACACGGCCCAG